CAAUACGGAGUGGCAGACGGGUGAGUAACACGUGGGAACGUACCCUUUGGUUCGGAACAACACAGGGAAACUUGUGCUAAUACCGGAUAAGCCCUUACGGGGAAAGAUUUAUCGCCAAAGGAUCGGCCCGCGUCUGGAUUAGCUAGUUGGUGAGGUAACGGCUCACCAAGGCUACGAUCAGUAGCUGGUCUGAGAGGAUGAUCAGCCACACUGGGACUGAGACACGGCCCAG
rnacentral:rRNA from 1 species